rnacentral:rRNA from 1 species
AUUGAACGCUGGCGGCAGGCUUAACACAUGCAAGUCGAGCGGGGAAGGUAGCUUGCUACUGGACCUAGCGGCGGACGGGUGAGUAAUGCUUAGGAAUCUGCCUAUUAGUGGGGGACAACAUCUCGAAAGGGAUGCUAAUACCGCAUACGUCCUACGGGAGAAAGCAGGGGAUCUUCGGACCUUGCGCUAAUAGAUGAGCCUAAGUCGGAUUAGCUAGUUGGUGGGGUAAAGGCCUACCAAGGCGACGAUCUGUAGCGGGUCUGAGAGGAUGAUCCGCCACACUGGGACUGAGACACGGCCCAGACUCCUACGGGAGGCAGCAGUGGGGAAUAUUGGACAAUGGGGGGAACCCUGAUCCAGCCAUGCCGCGUGUGUGAGGAAGGCCUUAUGGUUGUAAAGCACUUUAAGCGAGGAGGAGGCUACUCUAGUUAAUACCUAGGGAUAGUGGACGUUACUCGCAGAAUAAGCACCGGCUAACUCUGUGCCAGCAGCCGCCGUAA